UGGGGAAUAUUGCACAAUGGGGGAAACCCUGAUGCAGCGACGCCGCGUGAACGAAGAAGGUAUUCGUAUCGUAAAGUUUUGUCCUAUGGGAAGAUAAUGACAGUACCAUAGAAGAAAGCUCCGGCUAAAUACGUGCCAGCAGCCGCGGUAAUACGUAUGGAGCGAGCGUUGUCCGGAAUUAUUGGGCGUAAAGGGUACGCAGGCGGUUUAAUAAGUCGAAUGUUGAAGAUCGGGGCUCAACCCCGCAAAGCAUUGGAAACUGAUAAACUUGAGUAGUGGAGAGGAAAGUGGAAUUCCUAGUGUAGUGGUGAAAUACGUAGAUAUUAGGAGGAAGACCAGUAGCGAAGGCGACUGUCUGGACACAAACUGACGCUGAGGUACGAAAGCGUGGGGAGCAAACAGG
rnacentral:rRNA from 1 species